UUUGGCCGAUAAUGGCAAUUAAACUAUUAUCUUGGAAUGUUAAUGGUUUGAAUUCACCGCAGAAGAGAAGGAAAGUAUUUCAUUAUUUGAAACAAUUUAAAAAUGACAUUACUUGUUUACAAGAAACACAUAUUAGAUCUUUAGACCAGAAAUAUUUGAUAAAUUCAAAACUGGGAGUACAUUUUGUUGCCUCCUCUUUGGAGAAAAAAUGCAUUUUGGAUUAAAGUAUGGUGGAUCAUGCAGAAUAUUUUGAAAAGAAGAUUAAGUUUACCCCGCAGUUCUUUUUACUAGGAAUAAUUAUGGAUUGUACAGCUAUAGAGACUAAAUUGAUUCUGAACUUAAUAACAGCCGCAAGACUUUUGAUUGCUCAAUAUUGGAAGAAAGAAGAAUUACCUACAAUUGAAGAAUGGACUCUUAAAGUAUCAAAUCUGGCAGAAAUGGCAAAAAUUUCUGCUUACUUGAAAGACUAUACACAAGAAAAAUAUAUUUUAGAAUGGAAAAUGUGGAUUGAUUAUAUUCAAAAUAAGUAUCAGAUAAAAAAAUAUCAAAUAG